rnacentral:rRNA from 1 species
GUCGAGCGAGCGGAACAACAGAUUUACUUCGGUAAUGACGUUGGGAAAGCGAGCGGCGGAUGGGUGAGUAACACGUGGGGAACCUGCCCCUAAGUCUGGGAUACCAUUUGGAAACAGGUGCUAAUACCGGAUAAUAAAGCAGAUCGCAUGAUCAGCUUUUGAAAGGCGGCGUAAGCUGUCGCUAAGGGAUGGCCCCGCGGUGCAUUAGCUAGUUGGUAAGGUAACGGCUUACCAAGGCGACGAUGCAUAGCCGAGUUGAGAGACUGAUCGGCCACAUUGGGACUGAGACACGGCCCAAACUCCUACGGGAGGCAGCAGUAGGGAAUCUUCCACAAUGGACGCAAGUCUGAUGGAGCAACGCCGCGUGAGUGAAGAAGGUUUUCGGAUCGUAAAGCUCUGUUGUUGGUGAAGAAGGAUAGAGGUAGUAACUGGCCUUUAUUUGACGGUAAUCAACCAGAAAGUCACGGCUAACUACGUGCCAGCAGCCGCGGUAAUACGUAGGUGGCAAGCGUUGUCCGGAUUUAUUGGGCGUAAAGCGAGCGCAGGCGGAAAAAUAAGUCUAAUGUGAAAGCCCUCGGCUUAACCGAGGAACUGCAUCGGAAACUGUUUUUCUUGAGUGCAGAAGAGGAGAGUGGAACUCCAUGUGUAGCGGUGGAAUGCGUAGAUAUAUGGAAGAACACCAGUGGCGAAGGCGGCUCUCUGGUCUGCAACUGACGCUGAGGCUCGAAAGCAUGGGUAGCGAACAGGAUUAGAUACCCUGGUAGUCCAUGCCGUAAACGAUGAGUGCUAAGUGUUGGGAGGUUUCCGCCUCUCAGUGCUGCAGCUAACGCAUUAAG